ACAUUUUCUUAAUGUGUUCCAGGUUCCCCACCUUCUGGUUCUGAUGCCAACACAAACCAAGAAAGUUCCCAGGGUUCUGGUUAUGAUGUCGACACAAACCAACAAAACUCCCAGGGUAAUAGUUCUAGUUACCCCACAGGCAACCAAGGUUCCCCACCUUCUGGUUCUGAUGCCAACACAAACCAAGAAAGUUCCCAGGGUUCUGGUUCUGAUGUCGACACAAACCAA